AUUGAACGCUGGCGGCAGGCCUAACACAUGCAAGUCGAACGAGUGGCGGACGGGUGAGUAAUGGCUGGGAAACUGCCUGAUGGAGGGGGAUAACUACUGGAAACGGUAGCUAAUACCGCAUACCAUCGGAUGUGCCCAGAUGGGAUUAGCCAGUAGGUGGGGUAACGGCUAACCUAGGCGACGAUCCGUAGCUGGUCUGAGAGGAUGACCAGCGACACUGGACCUGAGACACGGUCCAGACGCCUACGGGAGGCAGCAGUGGGGAAUAUUGCACAAUGGGCGCAAGCCUGAUGCAGCCAUGCCGCGUGUAUGACGAAGGCCUUCGGGUUGUAAAGUACUUUCAGCGGGGAGGCGUUACCCGCAGAAGAAGCACCGGCUAACUCCGUGCCAGCAGCAGCGGUAAUAC
rnacentral:rRNA from 1 species